GAUGAACGCUGGCGGCGUGCCUAAGACAUGCAAGUCGAGCGAACAUACUAGAAACUUUCUCCUCUUGCGUUAGCGACUGACGGAUUAGUAACACAUGGAUAACCUACCUAUAAGACUGGGAGAAAUUCGGGAGACCAGAGCUAGUACCGAAUACUAUAGUCAAAGACAUGAUUUAAUAAUAAAAGGCAAGUUGCCUUUCACUAAUAGAUGGAUUCGCGCCGCAUUAGCUAGUUGGUAAGGUAACGGCUUACCAAGUCGACGAUGCGUAGCCGGCCUGAGAGGGUGAUCAGCAACAGUGGAACUGAGACGCGGGCCAGACUCCUACGGGAGGCAGGAGUAGGGAAUCUACCGCAAAGGGCGAAAGCCUGAAGGAGCAAAGCCGCGUGACUGAUGAAGGUCUUCGGAUCGUAAAACUAUGUUAUUAGGGAAGUAUAAACGUGUAAGUAAAUAUGCACGUAUUGACGGUACCUAAUCAGAAAGCCACGGCUAACUACGUG
rnacentral:rRNA from 1 species